UACGGAGGGUGCGAGCGUUGUCCGGAAUCACUGGGCGUAAAGCGCACGUAGGCGGACUCUUAAGUCGGUGGUGAAAUCCUGGAGCUCAACUCCAGAACUGCCUUCGAUACUGGGAGUCUCGAGUCCGGGAGAGGUGAGUGGAACUGCGAGUGUAGAGGUGAAAUUCGUAGAUAUUCGCAAGAACACCAGUGGCGAAGGCGGCUCACUGGCCCGGUACUGACGCUGAGGUGCGAAAGCGUGGGGAGCAAACAGG
rnacentral:rRNA from 1 species